UACGGAGGGAGCUAGCGUUGUUCGGAAUUACUGGGCGUAAAGGGCGCGUAGGCGGCCAUCUAAGUCAGACGUGAAAUCCCCCGGCUUAACCUGGGAACUGCGUCUGAUACUGGACGGCUUGAGUAUGGGAGAGGGAUGUAGAAUUCCAGGUGUAGCGGUGAAAUGCGUAGAUAUCUGGAGGAAUACCGGUGGCGAAGGCGGCAUCCUGGACCAUUACUGACGCUGAGGCGCGAAAGCUAGGGGAGCAAACGGG
rnacentral:rRNA from 1 species